rnacentral:rRNA from 1 species
UACGUAGGGACCAAGCGUUGUCCGGAAUCCUUGGGCGUAAAGAGCGUGUAGGCGGCUUGUUAAGUCUUGCGUGAAAUCUCGGGGCUCAACCCCGAGCGGUCGUGAGAAACUGGCAGGCUAGAGUGCGGGAGAGGAGAGUGGAAUUCCUGGUGUAGCGGUGAAAUGCGCAGAUAUCAGGAGGAACACCUAUAGCGAAGGCAGCUUGCUGGGACGUUACUGACGCUAAGGCGCGAAAGCGUGGGGAGCGAACAGG